UACAUAAACUCGAUUUACUUGUAGAGCAUUUCCAGAAUAAUGAUGACCAACUAAGAUCUCCAGUUAUUAUAUUAUCCUGCUAAAAAGUUUUUAUGAUAAAAAAACGGCCUUGCAAAUAUUUCGAUUUAAAACUCCGUAUUAACUGGUGCCACAUGCCCUCAUUAUCCAACCUGCUCUAUGGAUCUUUGUAUCUGGUUUUUGGACGGUUGCCAGCCUUCCUUGCCAUUUGACGUGUUUUGGAUGGGCACUCGUCGAUAAAAAGGACCUUAUACUCCGAGAUCAAUCAAAGCUCGUGAUAACCGCCUAUCUAGCCCAGACGACCACACGUGUAAACUCUUUUACUACAUUGCUGCUUGCGACAGGAUUUACAUAAGCUUGAAUUAACUCUUUCAUCGAAACGAAACAAUAGUGAAUCCAAAUGCUAAGUCCACGAUGCACAAAAAUCUCAGAAAAUCAUUCAGGUAUUACCGAGUGAAGGUCUUUUUCUUAGUCUUGUUUUGCGAAGGACUUUUUGGUAGAGUGGCUCACAGAAUAAGUGACCUAGAUCGCCGUUCGUGUCGCUCGUUGAUAGCCAAGAUCUAGUGCGGGUCGUUGCUGUGUUAUGCCUAAGACCAUUAGCAAAUACGUCGUCGGCUCAGAGGCAACCUGGUCAAACCUGGUGUUUGGGUUUGUUGGCUAAGCUCUUUUCUCGUACCAUAUUCACGUUGUACCAUCGCGCAUUCCCCAUAGAAGAGCUCACAAAGACCCCGGUUAAAGAGCAAGCGAGAUCAAUCCACCUACACCUUCUGCCCGUCGAGAAAAACAAUCUUUUUGGCCGUUCUCAAGUUUACACAGCGCACCAGCAGACUUUGUUUUGCGUCUAUCUGCCUUCUAGAGCCUUUUCCUUCUACGGAACAUCACGAAGAAGCACACACUCCGUUUGACUGAGUUAAGAUCUGUGCAUCGCCGAGACUCCCUUUGCUUCGCAGCCCCCCAACACAUGUUCCUUUGUUUAGCUAAGUACGCAUGCGCAGGAACUGACAUACCUUAUGCGCAUGUCACUAAAAUCGGCGCAUUCUUUUGCAUAGAAAGUAACACCAGUUUUCGCAGUUUGGUAAACUUAUAUCACAUUUAUAAAAAAGAGCAAAAAGACGCACACUAAAUGUUUGGUACGGAUCCUAAGGCUUUGUGUAGUUGAUACGGGACUAAAAAAGUAAAGAAAGAAUGCAAAAAUUGAAUAAAAUCAAAAUUCUAAAAGCUAGGAAAAUCCCCUUAUAUUUUUCAAUUCAUACUUGAUUUAAAUUUGCAAUUCCUCUUAUCACUUUUAAACACAUUUAUACAUUGAAAAAUAAACCACCCAGGCUGUAUCUACGCGGCACCCUUGCAGGUUUCAUGGGUCCUCGUGUGCCACAAUAUUAAGGCAGUUUUUAUUACCCGUCUGGCUAUAGCGCCGUUGACAUGUUUUGCAUAUAUUAGCACAGUACGCCCAGACAUGUUGUCGCUUGCCUAGCCCGCCCGUAACGAAACCCACGACACGUAAGGCGAAAAUAAUUCUCAAAACCUUUAUAUCGUCAUCACCAGCUCAUCCAGCGACUCAGGUACGACACGUAGCGAGCUCUAGGUGACAUCGAUGUCCAACGAGGAUUUGUGGAGUUAUUGCAAAACGAUUUAUGUGAUACUUCAGUUACCGUCACUUCGCCACAACAUUUAACUCUCGCUUAAAGGUCAAGAGGAUUUCAUGACAAGAGCGCAAUGCUAACGACGACUUCCAGCCACGGACCAACUAAAAAAUAGCAAUCUGCAAACUCAACAAAAAGCGCGCGAAAAAAGUCGGACCUUUGCGGGGGUAUUGUUUGGGAGACAAAUUAGAUAGUGGUAAAAAACAACCUUUCAGAGAAAUGAUUCAAAAUUCGGUGUUUUUCGAAAUUUGAGACCGCAGAAAUACUAAAAAGCACUAGGAAGAAAGUCUUCAAAUAAAGUAACCAAGGUAAACAA